rnacentral:rRNA from 1 species
CGCAAGCCUGACGGAGCAAGACCGCGUGGGGGAGGAAUGCCUUAGGGUUGUAAACCCCUUUUAUCUGGGAAGAACAAAAUGACGGUACCAGAUGAAUAAGCCUCGGCUAACUCCGUGCCAGCAGCCGCGGUAAUACGGAGGAGGCAAGCGUUAUCCGGAAUGAUUGGGCGUAAAGCGUCCGUAGGUGGUUAAUCAAGUCUGCUGUUAAAGAGCGGAGCUUAACUCCGUUUAAGCGGUGGAAACUGGUUGACUAGAGAGUGGUAGGGGUAGAGGGAAUUCCCAGUGUAGCGGUGAAAUGCGUAGAUAUUGGGAAGAACACCGGUGGCGAAAGCGCUCUGCUGGGCCGCAACUGACACUCAGGGACGAAAGCUAGGGGAGCG